rnacentral:rRNA from 1 species
GACGAACGCUGGCGGCGUGCUUAACACAUGCAAGUCGAACGGAAAGACCCUGCUUUUGUGGGGUGCUCGAGUGGCGAACGGGUGAGUAACACGUGAGUAACCUGCCCUUGACUUUGGGAUAACUUCAGGAAACUGGGGCUAAUACCGGAUAGGAGCUCCUGCUGCAUGGUGGGGGUUGGAAAGUUUCGGCGGUUGGGGAUGGACUCGCGGCUUAUCAGCUUGUUGGUGGGGUAGUGGCUUACCAAGGCUUUGACGGGUAGCCGGCCUGAGAGGGUGACCGGCCACAUUGGGACUGAGAUACGGCCCAGACUCCUACAGGAGGCAGCAGUGGGGAAUAUUGCACAAUGGGCGGAAGCCUGAUACAGCAACGCCGCGUGCGGGAUGACGGCCUUCGGGUUGUAAACCGCUUUCGCCUGUGACGAAGCGUGAGUGACGGUAAUGGGUAAAGAAGCACCGGCUAACUACGUA